rnacentral:lncRNA from 1 species
CGAUGGUGGUGGGAGGACAGCGGUUAGACCUACAAAAAAAAAAGAAAAUUUCACUGAAGUUGACUGCGAUAGAAAUCUUCCGAUGCUUAAAUCAGAUUUUCUACUCAAUAAAAAAAAGAUGAGCAUUUUAAAAAAGAGGAGAUCAUACUUUCUUUAGGAUCUCUAAUUUACCUCUUUUUAUCAGAGAGGCUAAAUCUGUGGGAGAUUAUGGGUUGUCAAAGAUUUUUUAUCGUCCAUUAAAUAUCCUCGAGAGUUGUGCUUGACAAUAUCACCUUAUAGCAUGUGGGGACCCCAUCUAUUGAUGGUAUGGGCUGACAAGUAGGAGCUGAGAGUGUGGAAGAGACUUGCUUUAUUCAUGGUUACUCCUAUUUAUUAAUGGGGUGAAGUAACGGGCCAUAAAGUGACCUCUUGGAGGGCCAAUGGCCAAAAUUGAGAGUAGAGGCCGAUGCUGGAAUUAGUAGUCGAGGAUUAGUCGGCCAAUUGAUGAUAAUUGAUCAGAGGUCAGAUGUCACUGGGUGAUGAGCUUCCGGCCAGAAGAAAGCCGCAGGUCAUGAAAGACCAAAGGAGUCCAAUGAUCGAUCGAGGAAGGAUCGAUCAACGG